UAAAACAUCGACUAUCGCUGACCAAAAUCAAAGCCACGACCAAGAGAUCGACGAGCAACCUUCAAGACACAACAUGUUUCGUCUCUGUGUCCUCUUCCUUCUGAGCUUUGUCGUGUUUGCCGCGUAUUUUGUUGAGGCUAAAUCUCAUCUCAAGUCUAAGGGGAUUAAUGCGACCGUAAAGAAUUGCACGAAACAUAGUGACUGCGCUAUUCGUAUGUGCUGUGCUGGUUUAGGAGGUAGCACCCCAGGAAAUUGUGUUAAAGAACCUCAGGAAGGAAUGUCAUGUUAUCCAGCGAUACUU